UAAAGGUGCAUGAGUGGUGUUUGGUUUGAUACGGGUGGUCGGCUCCCUGCUUGAGCAGGCACGGCCACGCGUGCAUUCCUUUUCAGUUGUGCGGCAAGGCUUGUAUCCUCUUGAUCGUAUAAGUGGGUUUCUUGUGUUGCAUACCUGAUCAAUGGCAUCGUUUUGAUCAAAAGGGUACCUUUUUCGUCUGGCGAUGCACUUGUUGCAUUGUCGGAUGAACCGUGUAGCAUCCUUUUUGAUCCAUACAGUUGACGUGUAUUCGUUGAUUGUUUGGCCCAUUGAGGGUGACUUGGUCUCUCGGAUAUGGAAGCCAAAGUGGGCAUGGGUUCGCAAGAUCCCUUUAUUGCCCCUCAUUGAGCGUUCUCGCUUUUCUUACACGACCGCCUUUCACGUAUGGCACGUCCCAGCGUGUUUGGCUAAGUCGAAGAGGAAUGCUACCUGGUUGAUCCUGCC
rnacentral:misc_RNA from 1 species